rnacentral:lncRNA from 1 species
UUUUUUUCAUUACUGAAGUGCUGGUAUUUAUAAUGCUCUUUUUCAUGACCUAAUGGGCUCAGAACGAAGCCCGAAUUUUUUUGUUGUCUGUCAGCUUCGCUAGGCGAGCUGGUAGCGAACGUGUAGCGAACGUUCGCUAGGCGAGCGUGUAGCGAACAUAACGUUCGCUAGGCGAGCGUGUAGCGAACAGGCCAGUUUGGGCCAUUUUCUGGAUUGGG